UUCAUUUUUCUUAUUAUUUUUUCCAUUAUUCAUUAUCCAUUUUUCUUCUUCUUUAUUUUUCACCAGCAUUCAUAAACAGACUGUAUGUGAGUAUAUCCAUGCAUUUUACUAUAUUCUAGGAUAAUAUUAUAAUCUUUUAAUCUCUCUGUUAUCCAUGUGCAAUAAGUGAAAAAUCUCUUGAAAUAUGAGUAGAAUGCCUGUCUUUUAUAAUUAUAUAAGUCAUUAGACCAUGCUAGCACUCAUACAGGACUAAAAAUUGGUUUCCUGUAGACUUUAGUUGUAUACUGAUCUUGCUCUAUAUCUAAGUACAUAUCCAAGAAAUGUAUGCUAUUUUUAUUUCUUUGCUUUAACUUUAGUAUUAGCUCUAUGUUUCCAUCUACGAAUAUCUCUUUUAACUCCUCUGUCUUGUCCUCUCCAUCCUGUAAGAUAUAUGCAUCAUCUAUGUACAGUCUAUUUAAUAAAGGUGUAGACAUCGUCAGUAGGAGCAGCAAGACAGGAAGUAGAUCACUUACAAUGUCUGGAAAUUCACAGCAUGGUUGCCUGUAAUGAAAUCAACUGUUCUUGUUGCCUUAUAAGUAGGGGUAUAGUAGAUUGCGUAGAGGGGGAGAAUUUUGAUGACGUAGGUGACGUGAUUUCCUGAUACAUUUG
rnacentral:lncRNA from 1 species